AUCACUUCAGUUCUUACAUCAAUAUCUAUGGCAUUGUACUGUAAAAACAGUGUUUUUAGGCAUUCUAUGUUUUCUUUUCUAUCUGUUUUAGUCACAUGAUACACACAGGAGUUAGAACUUCAUUGCAUAUCCAUUGUUUGUGAUGACUUUGGGUGGUCUAAUAAUUUUUUCCGUGACU